CUGUAGCCCGCUGUGCACCCCGUGGUUAGGGCAGCUAUCCACAAGCCUGCGGCGCCCGGCGGGAACUCCCGCAGGGUUCCGCAGGCUUGCGGAUAGCUGCCCUAAGCCUGGGGUGUGCAGCAGGCUACAG
rnacentral:miRNA from 1 species